AUACGUAGGGUGCAAGCGUUAAUCGGAAUUACUGGGCGUAAAGCGUGCGCAGGCGGUGAUGUAAGACAGGUGUGAAAUCCCCGGGCUUAACCUGGGAACUGCAUUUGUGACUGCAUCGCUGGAGUGCGGCAGAGGGGGAUGGAAUUCCGCGUGUAGCAGUGAAAUGCGUAGAUAUGCGGAGGAACACCGAUGGCGAAGGCAAUCCCCUGGGCCUGCACUGACGCUCAUGCACGAAAGCGUGGGGAGCAAACA
rnacentral:rRNA from 1 species